UGGCUUUCUGAUACCAGAGGUAAUGAUUAAUAGGGACGACUGGGGGCAUUCGUAUUGAGACGUUAGAGGUGAAAUUCUUGGAUCGUCGCAAGACGGACUAAAGCGAAAGCAUUUGCCAAAGGUGUUUUCAUUAAUCAAGAACGAAAGUUAGAGGUUCGAAGGCGAUUAGAUACCGCUGUAGUUCUAACCAUAAAUGAUGCCAGCCAGCGAUCCGCCGACGUCUCAUAAUUCUGACCCGGUGGGCAGCUCCCGGGAAACCAAAGCUUUCGG
rnacentral:rRNA from 1 species